rnacentral:tRNA from 1 species
GGGGGUAUAGCUCAGUUGGGAGAGCGCUUGCAUGGCAUGCAAGAGGUCGUCGGUUCAAGCCCGAUUAUCUCCA